GAUUUCAGCUGAAAAGUCAUCAACAACAAAGUUGUAUAACUCAUCAAGAUCUAUAACUUCUAUUUUGGUCAUUUCUUCAUCCGACAAAGUGAUCGUAACAUUUUCACAAAAUUUACAUAUCUCUCUCUAUAGUUUAUAAAACUAUAUAAGAGAUGUACAUUUUGUGAACAAUAUUACAAAUAACUUUGUCGUAUGAAGAAAUGACCAAAAUAAAAGUUAUAGAUAUUGAUGAGUUAUACCACUUUGUUAUUGAUGACUUUUUCAGUUGAAAUC
rnacentral:pre_miRNA from 1 species